UACGAAGGGGGGCUAGCGUUGCUCGGAAUCACUGGGCGUAAAGCGCACGUAGGCGGAUCUUUAAGUCGGGGGUGAAAUCCUGGAGCUCAACUCCAGAACUGCCUUUGAUACUGAGGAUCUCGAGUCCGGGAGAGGUGAGUGGAACUGCGAGUGUAGAGGUGAAAUUCGUAGAUAUUCGCAAGAACACCAGUGGCGAAGGCGGCUCACUGGCCCGGUACUGACGCUGAGGUGCGAAAGCGUGGGGAGCAAACAGGG
rnacentral:rRNA from 1 species